rnacentral:rRNA from 1 species
CAAACUCCGAAUGCCAAUUAAUUUAACUUGGGAGUCAGAACAUGGGUGAUAAGGUCCGUGUUCGAAAGGGAAACAGCCCAGACCACCAGCUAAGGUCCCAAAAUAUAUGUUAAGUGGAAAAGGAUGUGGCGUUGCCCAGACAACUAGGAUGUUGGCUUAGAAGCAGCCAUCAUUUAAAGAGUGCGUAAUAGCUCACUAGUCGAGUGACACUGCGCCGAAAAUGUACCGGGGCUAAACAUAUUACCGAAGCUGUGGAUUGUCCUUUGGACAAUGGUAGGAGAGCGUUCUAAGGGCGUUGAAGCAUGAUCGUAAGGACAUGUGGAGCGCUUAGAAGUGAGAAUGCCGGUGUGAGUAGCGAAAGACGGGUGAGAAUCCCGUCCACCGAUUGACUAAGGUUUCCAGAGGAAGGCUCGUCCGCUCUGGGUUAGUCGGGUCCUAAGCUGAGGCCGACAGGCGUAGGCGAUGGAUAACAGGUUGAUAUUCCUGUACCACCUAUAAUCGUUUUAAUCGAUGGGGGGACGCAGUAGGAUAGGCGAAGCGUGCGAUUGGAUUGCACGUCUAAGCAGUAAGGCUGAGUAUUAGGCAAAUCCGGUACUCAUUAAGGCUGAGCUGUGAUGGGGAGAAGACAUUGUGUCUUCGAGUCGUUGAUUUCACACUGCCGAGAAAAGCCUCUAGAUAGAAAAUAGGUGCCCGUACCGCAAACCGACACAGGUAGUCAAGAUGAGAAUUCUAAGGUGAGCGAGCGAACUCUCGUUAAGGAACUCGGCAAAAUGACCCCGUAACUUCGGGAGAAGGGGUGCUCUUUAGGGUUAACGCCCAGAAGAGCCGCAGUGAAUAGGCCCAAGCGACUGUUUAUCAAAAACACAGGUCUCUGCUAAACCGUAAGGUGAUGUAUAGGGGCUGACGCCUGCCCGGUGCUGGAAGGUUAAGAGGAGUGGUUAGCUUCUGCGAAGCUACGAAUCGAAGCCCCAGUAAACGGCGGCCGUAACUAUAACGGUCCUAAGGUAGCGAAAUUCCUUGUCGGGUAAGUUCCGACCCGCACGAAAGGCGUAACGAUUUGGGCACUGUCUCAACGAGAGACUCGGUGAAAUCAUAGUACCUGUGAAGAUGCAGGUUACCCGCGACAGGACGGAAAGACCCCGUGGAGCUUUACUGUAGCCUGAUAUUGAAAUUCGGCACAGCUUGUACAGGAUAGGUAGGAGCCUUUGAAACGUGAGCGCUAGCUUACGUGGAGGCGCUGGUGGGAUACUACCCUAGCUGUGUUGGCUUUCUAACCCGCACCACUUAUCGUGGUGGGAGACAGUGUCAGGCGGGCAGUUUGACUGGGGCGGUCGCCUCCUAAAAGGUAACGGAGGCGCUCAAAGGUUCCCUCAGAAUGGUUGGAAAUCAUUCAUAGAGUGUAAAGGCAUAAGGGAGCUUGACUGCGAGACCUACAAGUCGAGCAGGGUCGAAAGACGGACUUAGUGAUCCGGUGGUUCCGCAUGGAAGGGCCAUCGCUCAACGGAUAAAAGCUACCCCGGGGAUAACAGGCUUAUCUCCCCCAAGAGUUCACAUCGACGGGGAGGUUUGGCACCUCGAUGUCGGCUCAUCGCAUCCUGGGGCUGUAGUCGGUCCCAAGGGUUGGGCUGUUCGCCCAUUAAAGCGGUACGCGAGCUGGGUUCAGAACGUCGUGAGACAGUUCGGUCCCUAUCCGUCGUGGGCGUAGGAAAUUUGAGAGGAGCUGUCCUUAGUACGAGAGGACCGGGAUGGACAUACCUCUGGUGUACCAGUUGUCGUGCCAACGGCAUAGCUGGGUAGCUAUGUGUGGACGGGAUAAGUGCUG